AAAAAUAGGCCACAAGACGCAAGCCCAGCACAAACAAAACCAAUUACAAGAAACAGAGAUUAAUGUCGUGACCCUUCCGACGAAUACGUACGAACAACUUCGAAACAGAACAGAUAAGGAGAGCAGGAUGACCUACGACUCUCUGAAUGUCAAUCACAAUAUGAGAAUCUGAAAAAGGGAUCAGGAAUACCUAACACUUCAAGUCUAAACACAUCGGAUAAAAUGUAAUGAAAUUCAAGAUUGCGAACACGAUGUUUCAAGACAUAACAUAAGUAUGACUACGUGUCAUAUCAUUCUUCUGUUUUAUGUUACGACUUUGGUACAGUGAAUGCAAUUGUGGUAGUAAAUUUGCUGUCCGCUA